UACGGAGGGGGCUAGCGUUGUUCGGAAUUACUGGGCGUAAAGCGCACGUAGGCGGCUUUGUAAGUUAGAGGUGAAAGCCCAGGGCUCAACCCUGGAAUUGCCUUUAAGACUGCAUCGCUUGAACAUCGGAGAGGUAAGUGGAAUUCCGAGUGUAGAGGUGAAAUUCGUAGAUAUUCGCAAGAACACCAGUGGCGAAGGCGGCUCACUGGCCCGAUACUGACGCUGAGGUGCGAAAGCGUGGGGAGCAAACAGG
rnacentral:rRNA from 1 species